rnacentral:lncRNA from 1 species
AAAGUCAUACUUUCAAUCCUCCAGAAUAGAUUACUUCUGAUUUGAAAGGAUACAUUUCUUAGGGAAAUCAGUGCAUUGGUUACAUGAAAACUGUGUGACAGCCUUGGAAGUCUGAAAGAGCAGGAGAGAGGCUAAGCACACACAUAUUGUGAUUUUAGGAAUCUCAAGGUGAGAAGAAACAUCAGAAGCAGUUGAGAGACCAGGACGUGGGUCCUCAAAGGAUGAACAGAAGUUCUUUUGGAUAACAUUUUAAAAUGUUUCCUCCAGAGUCAUCUGCCUCAUUAACAAUGGUUUGAGUCUCAAGAGUCUCUCUUCGAUUUUACAAACAUGAAUUGUUGUUCUGCUAUAAAUGCAUGCUGCUCUAGUCCUUCAAUAAGCCCACAACAUGUUUUCACCA